GUCCCUCAUCUUCAUUUAGCCCCCGGCUGAAUGGGGUGUGUCGAUUCCACCCACCAGCAUUGCUUGUCCCUCUUCUCUGCCACGUUGGAAGAUAAAUCGAAGCCACCUGUGGAAGGAGAGCGCCUAUGAAGAUGAGGUAUCAUCAUUACCUCAUUCUGAGCACCCUUCUGCCAAGUACAUAGAGGAAAAUUAUUAAUCACCCCUUACCUGGACAGUGUAAGUAUCGCGUCUGCAGCUGUGAUCUGCCGAUGAUUAAAAAGCACUCAUUCCACCGACGGUGCCGCCAGAUCAUCGCACAUCCUUGAGGAGCAUCACUCACAGGCACUGCUCCUUGACAUCCUUCACGACCCAGCCGAGAACGAAGCAGCCGAGUGAACGCUUAGCCCCCUCUCAGGGCAGCCCAGCUCUGCCUGCACCAGCACAAGAGGCCACCCGGACAGGACAGAGGCCCCACGGGGAAGGAGAUGGGCCACUUCUCUCCCAGGUCACCAUCCCACUGUUUUGUGACCCUUUGAAAAAGGCACAGUAUGACAAAGAUGAGGAAACAAGAACUCUUCUUCAGUGUGAGGCUGGUACUUCGUUUCUAACUGUUAUGCAGUUCCAGGACCCAAGAGCAACGGGAGUUGUGUUCCACUGAGCUGAUUUGUGUUACCAACCUUCUUGCAGGCAACAUGCAGACAAUGAUAGAAUUUAAAGAGGCUGAGAAGGCGAAACUGCAUUCCAGAUGUCCAAGAAUUUCUAAUUCAAGGUGCUUUGUGACUCUAAAUGAGUGGCUUAGACUUCCUCCAAGUUACUUAGACAGUGAAUUUUGUAAAGGGAGCAGGUAAUGGUUAAUAUUGUAGAAAUUAUGGAACCCAUUGGAAUUGGGAAACUUUUCUUUGAGAGAAUGAUGCAAACUUCUUGAGAGAGUUAUAAUUUUUUUGUUUCAUUUUGCAAUGAGAAGUCUACUGUAAGACUUCCAGCCAAGAUGGAGGUGUAGGUAGACACACUGUGCAUCCUCGAGCAACCAAAAGAAGGACAACAGCAAUUUUAAAACAAAAAACAACCAGAACUGACAGAAAAUUGAACUGUAUGGAAAGGAAGUCCGUCAACCAUGUGGUUAAAGAAGACAGAUGCAUCCAGGCCAGUAGGAGGGGUGGAGACAGGCAUCUGGGUGGAGAGGACUUGGGGCAAGGCAGUGGCUGGAGGACCCAGUGAGGUGGCGGAUUGUGGAGUGGGGUGCACAAGGCUUCAGCUGGCCAGCAAGGCAGCAGCUGGUAGACAAGGUGAGUGGGUGGUCCCACAUUCCCCAGUGAAUAAACCAGGAGGAAACCUGGGGAGCAGGACUGCUCAACCCAGGACCCCAGCAGAUAAAUAAAGCCUCAAACCACUGGUUGAAAACGCCUGUGGGGGUUUCGACAGUGGUGGGAGGAUCUCCAGGUCUCACAGGAGAGUUCAUUGGAGAGACCCCCAGGGUCCUAGUAUGUACACAAAACCACCGACAUGAGAAUCAGCACCAGAAGGGCCCACUUUGCUUGUGGGAAUCGUGGGAAGCAACUGAAAUUCGACAGAGAGUAGAGCAAGCACUGUUGUUCCCUCUUGGAUUCCUCCCCCACAAACAGUGUCACAACCCAGACAAUGGGUUGCCCCACCCUGGUGAAAACCUAAGGCUCCACCCCUCACUACGGAACAGGCACGUCAAGACACACACACAAAAAAAAUGGCCCAAAUGAAAGAACAGAUUAAAGGUCCAGAAAAAAAUACAACUAAAUGAUGAAGAGAUAGGCCACCUAUCAGAUGCACAGUUCAAAACACUGGUAAUCAGGAUGCUCACAGAAUUGGUUGAAUUUGGUCACAAAUUAGAUGAAACAAUGAAGGCUAUGCUAAGUGAAAUAAAGUAAAAUGUACAAGGAACCAAUAGUGAUGGGAAGGAAACUGGGACUCAAAUCAAUGAAGUGGCCUGGAAGGAAGAAAGAGACAUCCAACCAGAAAAGAAUGAAGAAAUAAGAAUUCAAAAAAAUGAGGAGAGGCUUAGGAACCUCCAGGACAUCUUUAAACACUCCAACAUCUGAUUAUAGGGGUACCAGAAGGGGAAAAGGAAGAACAAAAAGUGGAAAACUUAUUUGAGCAAAUAAUAAAGGAGAACUUCUCCAAUCUGGCAAAGGAAAUAGACUUCCAGGAAGUCCAGGAAGCUCAGAGAGUCCCAAAGAAGUUAGAUCCAAGGCAGAAAAUACCAAGGCACAUCAUCUUUGCAUUAGCCAAGAUUCAAAUGAAGGAGAGAAUCCUAGAAGCAGCAAGAGAUAAGGACUUCCCAUAAGACUGUCAGCUGAUUUCUCAAAAGAAACUUGGCAGGCAAGAAGGGGCUGGAAAGAAGUAUUCCAAGUCAUGGAAGGCAAGGACCUACAUCCAAGAUUGCUCUAUCCAGCAAAGCUUUCAUUUAGAAUGGAAGGGCGCAUAAAAUGCUUCUCAAAUAACGUCAAGUUAUAGGAAGGAGUUCAUCAUCACCAAGCCCUUAUUAUAGGAAAUGUUAAAGGGACUUAUCUAAGAAAAAGAAGAUAAAAAAUAUGAACAGUGAAAUGACAGCAAACUCACAAUCAUUAACAACCACACCUAAAACAAAAGCAAACUAAGCAAAUAACUAGAAUAGGAACAGAACCACAGAAAUGGGGACCAUAUGGAGGGUUAUCAACAGGGGAGUGGGAGGGGGAGAGAGGAGGGAAAGCUACAGAGAAUAAAUAGCAUAGACAGUGGGUAGAAAACAGUGUGGGGGCAACUUUCUUUGCAAGUUCCCCAAGCCUCCAUGGAUGAGAGUAAACAUGACUGAGACAUAAUGUGAACUGCUUGGGGAGGAGAGAUGGCCAUUUUCCCAGAGGAAAAAGGCCUUUAGCAGUGGCCAGUUUCUCAGGGGAAAAAGGAGUUGAGCCCCUUCCUCCAAAGGCUUUUAUUGGGUUCUAACACACAGGAAUACAGGGUGGCAAGGAUCAAACAGUAGAUAACAUUUCAAUUAAAUCUGAGGGCUUAGUAUGAGUCAGAGUCUGUCAGGAACAGACUUUUAGAGUUUCCUGCUGGAACCCUUAACAUGAAUGAAAGCACUCUUAGCAGAGGAGACUUCACAGGUGUAUCAGGAAGUCUUCGUGAUGCCAGAUUCCACCACCCGCCCCCCCCCCUCCGCCCCAGGCUUUGGCAAAGCAAGGAGCUGCACCCUUUCCCAGCAGGUAUUCAGGUUUAAGGGGAUUAGAACCAGGAAAUGCUUCCAGCUUUGUCAAAGCCUGCGGCGGGGGAGGGGGGCGUAGCGAGAGUCCAUUGCUCCCUCUUUGUUGCACCCCCCUGAGUCCUUCCAUGAUGGCCUCCCACGUGAUCAAGUCUGGCUUAGGUUGCCCCUGCUCUGAGGGGGUCUUACCCAUCAUUGGCUUCUGACCAAGCUGUGGGGGCAGGGAGAGGAAACUGAGGCAGCAUUUGCUACCAUACACAAGCUUUGUCUCCUGUGGCUGGCAUUCUAAUGGUCGUCACUCACCCUUAGCCACAGGGGGUUGAGUUACAAUUCCUAGAACCUAGAACCGGGCAUAGCGGUCCAAACACAAUAGACAGGGGAGUACAAAAAUAGUGUAGGAAAUGUAGAAGCCAAGAACCUACAUGUAUGACCCAU